AUGUUUGCUCUUUUCACCCUUUUCCUCACUCAAGGUACUGCAGAUUUCUACUGCCCAGUCUGGUAUUGCCGCCUCCAAACUAGCACAUCAGCCCUGAGCUGCUGCUUUCCCAUUAAAACCAGUGGAAAUUGGGGUCCAAGUUCUCAAAGAAUGGAGCGAGCUGCCCGUGGCAUCUCAGAGAACAGGAGGGCUGCGGCUUUGAAGGGAUUGUGCCCACGUCUCACCGGGUGCCUCGGAUCAGCAGCACACCUCAGCUCAGAAGACAGUGUUCAGAAAUGUCACUUGGCAGCAAGGACCUUGCUGAAAUGCUGGAAGAAGCAAUCUGUCAGCAGUAAUGAAGCUGGGCCUUAAUUGGCCCAGCUGCAAGGUCUUGCCUGGGAAUGCUGACAGGCAAACCAUCAGUUGGAUCUCUAAUUUGUCUCCCAGCAUGGCUCUUGAAUGAUGCUGAAGUACAAAAUGUGCUUUUUUGGUAAAGCGAGUGGUAUGUCUGCGCUACCCUGGGGCCUUUGCUUUGCUGCGCUUCAGUCCUUGCGAAUGGAUCUGGACAGGGCAGCUGGGGAGAAAAUCGUGUGGGUAGAGAGAAAGAACGUGGUCUCGUGGGCAGCACAAUGUGAACACAAGAGAAGAAGCAGCCAUGCCCCAGCAGGUCUGUGCACACCAGAAGUGGCGGAGAGAUGGGCUUUGCUCGUCCUUCCUUCCUGCAGACAGAACCAGAACAAUUAUCCUCCUGUUUGACUCCAGCUAAACGCAUGGAUGGAAAUCCUGCAGCCUAGUUGCUCCAUGUGGAUCUUCCACGAAGGUAACUUGUUUUUGUGUCUGAAGCUCUACUUUAAGUCCAGUACUUUGUGCUCACUUGUAUUUCUUUACAUCCCAGCCUGUUCUGUGAGAAGAAUUGUUCAGGUGAUCUAUACUUAAGAUCCAUUCAUUGAAUUAAAGGGGCUGUGUACUGGCUGGCAUUCUAGCUGGAAGAAAAAGGAUAAGAACAUAAAGAGGAUACAGGACAAUCACGCUAAGCACUUGAAACAAUAACCAUUUUAUGCUUUGUAAAAUGGAAAAAAAUGUCACUUAAUAAGAGAAGAAAAUGAGAAUACCAAGCUCCCUAAAGCCAAUGAUGUGAAUCAGCACAGGCUCAGCUCUGCCUGCAGUGAUGAGGGAUUUUCUAGUAACUUGGAAAUUCCUGUGUGAGGAGCCCUGAGUGGGAUUAUUUGCAUCUAAAGCAAUUUCCAAAAUGUAAAUGGUGACCCGAACACACAGAGGCAGAAGAACAAAUAGGAAAUAGGUGGGAGAAAUCCUGCAGCGCUGGGAUGGGCAGAGCUCUGGCCACAUUCACAAAAUAAAAAAGGCAGAAACUCCGAGUUGAGCCGUUCA
rnacentral:lncRNA from 1 species